rnacentral:rRNA from 1 species
CCCUUAGAUGUUCUGGGCCGCGCACGCGCUACACUGAAGGAGGCAGCGUGUACUCCUGGAUCGAAAGAUUUGGGUAACCCGCGAAUCUCCUUCGUGCUAGGGAUUGAGGUUUGCAAUUAUCCUUCAUGAACGAGGAAUUCCCAGUAAGUGCAAGUCAUAAGCUUGCGCUGACUACGUCCCUGCCCUUUGUACACACCGCCCGUCGCUACUACCGAUUGAAUGAUUUAGUGAGGACUUCGGACUGGGACCGAUGCGGCUUUCGGGCUGCGUCGGUAUUCUGGAAAGAUGUCCAAACUGUAUCAUUUAGAGGAAGUAAAANUCGUANCA